AGCCCUGGGGUGUUACUCACGUCGAAUUGCAAAUUCGGAAAAGCAGCUUGAAUUCUGCCGGGGCUU
rnacentral:tRNA from 1 species